AUUGAACGCUGGCGGCAUGCCUAACACAUGCAAGUCGAACGGCAGCACGGCAGUAGCAAUACUGUGGGUGGCGAGUGGCGGACGGGUGAGUAACGCGUGGGAACGUACCCUUUGCUACGGAAUAGCCUCGGGAAACUGGGAGUAAUACCGUAUGUGCCCUUCGGGGGAAAGAUUUAUCGGCAAAGGAUCGGCCCGCGUUGGAUUAGGUAGUUGGUGGGGUAAUGGCCUACCAAGCCGACGAUCCAUAGCUGGUUUGAGAGGAUGAUCAGCCACACUGGGACUGAGACACGGCCCAGACUCCUACGGGAGGCAGCAGUGGGGAAUCUUAGACAAUGGGUGCAAGCCUGAUCUAGCCAUGCCGCGUGAGCGAUGAAGGCCUUAGGGUUGUAAAGCUCUUUCAGUGGGGAAGAUAAUGACUGUACCCACAGAAGAAGCCCCGGCUAACUCCGUGCCAGCAGCCGCGGU
rnacentral:rRNA from 1 species